rnacentral:lncRNA from 1 species
UCAAGCCCAGGUACUACUAAGAAUGUCAUCAAAAACUUUAUUGUGGGGAUCCCUGGGUGGCGCAGCGGUUUGGCGCCUGCCUUUGGCCCAGGGCGCCAUCCGGGAGACCCUGGAUCGAAUCCCACGUCGGGCUCCCGGUGCAUGGAGCCUGCUUCUCCCUCUGCCUGUGUCUCUGCCUCUCUCUCUCUCUCUGUGACUAUCAUAAAAAAAAAUUAAAAAAAAACUUUAUUGUGUGCAUAGUUACAUGUAGAAAGAAAACCUAUAAACCACUUAAAACUAUGGAUAACUGUAGAUCUUGAACUUGGUUCCUUAUGAUUCUUCAAAAUGAGUAUUAUGAGGGAAAGGAUUUUGUAUCUUGGACAAAAAUAGUUUUGGAGACCUAUAAAUGUUUCCCAUUGAUGUCAACAUAUCACACAGGCAGGUAGCAUAUCUCUAUCUGGCCCCACAAUUAUUUGACAACAUUUUUGUCACAGCAGAGGAUCUCAGAUGGUACAGUGGUGUUUGUAUCCCAUCAGCAGCCAAAAGCCAGGAGUUGUCUGCCAAAGUUGUAAGCGCAUGUAUGCUGUGUAUGCUGUGGCGUAGCUGACAGCGGCCUCAAGGAGUAUGUCAUAGGAAAUUCUAAGGACGAUGAAGCCAGACUCCACUCUGCAUGGAUCCACAGCAGUUUAGGGGUACGACCUGUCUGAUCCUGGCAUAACUCCCAGAGAUGGUACUUCCACCUUGCCCAGAGCAAGAGCUCCAUGGAGAAUGGCCAUAAAGAGUCACUCUGAAGCAGAUGAAAUCUCAGCAUGAGAGAGAGAUGAGUGUUCUAGUUGAAGUGAGGGCCAUGUUCCAGGAGACACAUCAGCUCUGCCCUUUCAGCUUCCACUAUACCUUUUCCAGGAGAACUUGGAUCAUUUCCACAUCAAGAAAUGCAGUUUGGAAACCCACUGGACCAGGAAAGCAAAGACACAGUCAUGAUGCAAAUACCCCAAGAGAUGUAAAAUGUCAACAAAAGGCACAAUAUAAGAAGGGAAUGAAUAAAGGCAGAGUCUGGACCCUAGUUCCCACUCUACUACUCUUUCUUUUUAGGAAACAUUUGCUGAUGCCUGGUCCCGGAGCUGCAUUUCUCAAGCUUUAAUAUCCAUAGCUUACAGGUGAUGAUAACAUGAUGAUACUGUGCAGCCAGGGCCUAGAGCCAUUGUUCUUGGGAUCAUAUGUACAUAAUUUGUCCAAUUGGCUGACACCUUAGAAAACAGAAUCAAAUCUCUGGAAAAGUGAUUCAGGACAGGUGAGUUCUUGUGGCAAUGAAGACAAUGGCAGAUAACAGGAAGAAGUUUGGCUGUUAAUAGCCUGUGCAUGAAAUACCCCUGUUUAGUUUCUGAAU